GAUGAACGCUAGCUACAGGCUUAACACAUGCAAGUCGAGCGACCGGCGCACGAGUGAGUCACACGUAACCAACCUGCCCUUUACUCGGGGAUAGCCGAUCGAAAGAAAGAUUAAUACCCGAUUUCAAGGAGGGGGAUGCGUUCUAUGAGGUUGUUGUUGAGGUGACGGCUCACCAAGCCUUCGAUGGAUAGGGGUUCUGAGAGGAAGGUCCCCUGCAUUGGAAACGAGACCCGGUCCAACCGCCUACGGGAGGAAGCAGUGAGGGAGAUUGGUGAAUGGGCGCUAACCUGAACCAGCAAAGUAGCGUGAAGGAGGAUGGCUUCUGGGUCGUCAACUACUUUUAUAGAAGAAUAUGUAUUAUAUGAAUAAGGAUCGGCUAACUCCGUGCCAGCAGCCGCGGUAAUAC
rnacentral:rRNA from 1 species